AAACCUUUUUUCAGAAUAUCACUGAUCAGUAAAAAAAUGUUCUUUGCCUGCAGGGUGGAGUUCAUUUCUUUUGUUCCUGAGAGCUGAAUAGGAGAAAGGGACAUUUCAGCUUUUCUUGAUAAAGAUCAUCUUAUUUAAACUGUGAGGCAAGAAUUCUUCUUGAAAAUUAAGAGUUCUACAGAAAAUUACUCCCUCCUUCUCAAAAAAGUGCUAAGAUGAAGAUUUCAACUAUCACAGAAUCCCUGAGGGGCCAAGCAAGACAUACUGCUUUAUAAAGUGC
rnacentral:lncRNA from 1 species